rnacentral:rRNA from 1 species
AACCGCUGAAAGCAUCUAAGUGGGAAGCCCCCCCCAAGAUGAGUACUCCCAGACCCUCCGGGGUCCCGAAGGGCCGUGCGAGACUAGCACGUUGAUAGGCGGCAAGUGGAAGCGUGGUGACACGUGCAGCUGAGCCGUACUAAUGGCCCGAAAGGCUUGACCAG